GGGUCAAUUGAGACCUGAGUAACCAAGGGAAACCGAUAAGCAUUCCACCUGGGGAGUACGGUCGCAAGACUGAAACUCAAAGGAAUUGACGGGGGCCCGCACAAGCGGAGGAACAUGUGGUUUAAUUCGAUGAUACGCGAGGAACCUUACCCGGGCUUGAAAGUUAGUGACCGUUUUAGAGAUAGAAUUUCGCAGCAAUGCGCACGAAACUAGGUGCUGCAUGGUUGUCGUCAGCUCGUGCCGUGAGGUGUCGGCUUAAGUGCCACAACGAGCGCAACCCUUACCGCCGGUUGCCAGCGGGUAAUGCCGGGGACUUCGAUGGGACUGCCACCGUAAGGUGUGAGGAAGGUGGGGAUGACGUCAAAUCAGCACGGCCCUUACGUCCGGGGCGACACACGUGUUACAAUGGUCGGUACAGAGGGCUGCUACUAGGCGACUAGAUGCUAAUCUCGAAAGCCGAUCUCAGUUCGGAUCGGAGUCUGCAACUCGACUCCGUGAAGUUGGAUUCGCUAGUAAUCGCAUAUCAGCCAUGAUGCGGUGAAUACGUUCCCGGGCCUUGUACACACCGCCCG
rnacentral:rRNA from 1 species